rnacentral:rRNA from 1 species
UACAGAGGUCCCGAGCGUUGUUCGGAUUCACUGGGCGUAAAGGGUGCGUAGGUGGCCAACUAAGUCGGACGUGAAAUCCCUCGGCUUAACCGGGGAACUGCGUCCGAUACUGGUUGGCUUGAGUUUGGGAGAGGGAUGCGGAAUUCCAGGUGUAGCGGUGAAAUGCGUAGAUAUCUGGAGGAACACCGGUGGCGAAGGCGGCAUCCUGGACCAAUACUGACGCUGAGGAGCGAAAGCCAGGGGAGCAAACGGG